UGGGGAAUUUUUUGCAAUGGGGGAAACCCUGACGAAGCAACGCCGCGUGGAGGAUGAAGGCCUUCGGGUCGUAAACUCCUGUCGACCGGGACGAAAGUAGCCUGACCCAAUACGUCGGGCUGUUGACUGUACCGGGGGAGGAAGCCACGGCUAACUCUGUGCCAGCAGCCGCGGUAAUACAGAGGUGGCAAGCGUUGUUCGGAAUUACUGGGCGUAAAGGGCGCGUAGGCGGCUUGGUCAGUCCCGUGUGAAAUCCCUCGGCUCAACUGAGGAACUGCACGGGAAACAACCAGGCUUGAGUUCGGGAGAGGGAAGCGGAAUUCCGGGUGUAGCGGUGAAAUGCGUAGAUAUCCGGAGGAACACCGGUGGCGAAGGCGGCUUCCUGGACCGACACUGACGCUGAGGCGCGAAAGCUAGGGGAGCAA
rnacentral:rRNA from 1 species